CUUGAGGGAGCCCAGCCACAGGGGCCGGCCUUCGGCACGGUCCUGACCGUACGUGGCGAUGAUGGCCUGCGCCUC
rnacentral:antisense_RNA from 1 species